UCCCCUAUAGUCUAGCAGGUUAGGAUAGAAGGUUUUCACCCUUCAGACCCGGGUUCAAGUCCCGGUGGGGGAA
rfam:Tetrahymena thermophila SB210 genomic scaffold scf_8254682, whole genome shotgun sequence.